GCUUACGGCCACACCGCCUUUGGCCGCCCGAUCUCGUUUGAUCUCGGAAGCUAAGAUAGGUUGGGCCUGGUUAGUACUUGGAUGGGAGACCGCCUGGGAAUACCAGGUGCUGUAAGCA
rnacentral:rRNA from 1 species